UACAGAGGGGGCAAGCGUUGUUCGGAAUUACUGGGCGUAAAGGGCGCGUAGGCGGCCUUCUAAGUCGAACGUGAAAUCCCCGGGCUCAACCCGGGAACUGCGUCCGAUACUGGAUGGCUUGAGAUUGGGAGAGGGAUGCGGAAUUCCAGGUGUAGCGGUGAAAUGCGUAGAUAUCUGGAGGAACACCGGUGGCGAAGGCGGCAUCCUGGACCAACACUGACGCUGAGGAGCGAAAGCCAGGGGAGCAAACGGG
rnacentral:rRNA from 1 species